rnacentral:rRNA from 1 species
UACGUAGGGGGCAAGCGUUGUCCGGAAUCAUUGGGCGUAAAGCGCGUGUAGGCGGUCCGGUAAGUCGGCUGUGAAAGUCCAGGCUCAACCCUGGGAUGCCGGUCGAUACUGCCGGACUAGAGUUCGGAAGAGGCGAGUGGAAUUCCCGGUGUAGCGGUGAAAUGCGCAGAUAUCGGGAGGAACACCAAUGGCGAAGGCAGCUCGCUGGGACGUUACUGACGCUGAGACGCGAAAGCGUGGGGAGCAAACAGG